GACGAACGCUGGCGGCGUGCUUAACACAUGCAAGUCGAACGGAAAGGCCCUGCUUUUGUGGGGUGCUCGAGUGGCGAACGGGUGAGUAACACGUGAGUAACCUGCCCUUGACUUUGGGAUAACUUCAGGAAACUGGGGCUAAUACCGGAUAGGAGCUCCUGCUGCAUGGUGGGGGUUGGAAAGUUUCGGCGGUUGGGGAUGGACUCGCGGCUUAUCAGCUUGUUGGUGGGGUAGUGGCUUACCAAGGCUUUGACGGGUAGCCGGCCUGAGAGGGUGACCGGCCACAUUGGGACUGAGAUACGGCCCAGAAGCCUACGGGAGGCAGCAGUGGGGAAUAUUGCACAAUGGGCGGAAGCCUGAUGCAGCAACGCCGCGUGCGGGAUGACGGCCUUCGGGUUGUAAACCGCUUUCGCCUGUGACGAAGCGUGAGUGACGGUAAUGGGUAAAGAAGCACCGGCUAACUACGUG
rnacentral:rRNA from 1 species